rnacentral:rRNA from 1 species
UACGUAGGGUGCAAGCGUUGUCCGGAAUUAUUGGGCGUAAAGAGCUUGUAGGCGGUUUGUCGCGUCUGCUGUGAAAUUUCGGGGCUCAACCCCGAACUUGCAGUGGGUACGGGCAGACUAGAGUGUGGUAGGGGAGACUGGAAUUCCUGGUGUAGCGGUGAAAUGCGCAGAUAUUGGGAGGAACACCAGUGGCGAAGGCGGCUCACUGGGCAGGAACUGACGCUGAGGCGCGAAAGCGUGGGGAGCAAACAGG